AGUGAACGCUGGCGGUAGGCCUAACACAUGCAAGUCGAACGGCAGCACAGUAAGAGCUUGCUCUUACGGGUGGCGAGUGGCGGACGGGUGAGGAAUACAUCGGAAUCUACUUUUUCGUGGGGGAUAACGUAGGGAAACUUACGCUAAUACCGCAUACGGCCUACGGGUGAAAGCAGGGGAUCUUCGGACCUUGCGCGAUUGAAUGAGCCGAUGUCGGAUUAGCUAGUUGGCGGGGUAAAGGCCCACCAAGGCGACGAUCCGUAGCUGGUCUGAGAGGAUGAUCAGCCACACUGGAACUGAGACACGGUCCAGACUCCUACGGGAGGCAGCAGUGGGGAAUAUUGGACAAUGGGCGCAAGCCUGAUCCAGCUAUACCGCGUGGGUGAAGAAGGCCUUCGGGUUGUAAAGCCCUUUUGUUGGGAAAGAAAAGCAGCAGGUUAAUACCCCGCUGUUCUGACGGUACCCAAAGAAUAAGCACCGGCUAACUUCGUG
rnacentral:rRNA from 1 species